rnacentral:rRNA from 1 species
UACGUAGGGUGCAAGCGUUUGUCCGGAAUUAUUGGGCGUAAAGAGCUCGUAGGCGGUUUGUUGCGUCGGCUGUGAAAUCCCGAGGCUCAACCUCGGGUCUGCAGUCGAUACGAGCAAACUAGAGUGUUGCAGGGGGAGACUGGAAUUCCUGGUGUAGCGGUGAAAUGCGUAGAUAUCUGGAGGAACACCGGUGGCGAAGGCGGGUCUCUGGGCCGUAACUGACGCUGAGGAGCGAAAGCUGGGGGAGCGAACAGG